AUACUUACCUUCCUGGGGCUCCUGUCUUCAAGAACACAGGGGCCUGCUGGCUGGCCCUGCAUUGCACAGCGCGGCGGUGGCUGGUAUGUACUUCCUUCGGGGCUUACACCUUGGGACAAUUUUUGAUUUCCACUGCUUUGCUCACCUUUAGUGC
rnacentral:snRNA from 19 species